rnacentral:sRNA from 1 species
AUAAUCCAAAAGGAUACCAAAGCGACAACAAGUCUAAAUCAGCGAGAGCAGUUAUUUUUUUUAAAAAAAUAUACAACCGGUAAGAAUUAUGAAUAGAGAAGCAAUGAAGAGAAGUUUGAGCGGCGAAGCUGUUGAUAUGACACCUGGAGUGGUUGCUAAGAAAGUGAAAAGACAGAGAGAAAUAAGAGAACAUGGGCGACUGCGGUAUAUUGGCGAUAAAGAUAUAAACCAAGUGUUGGAGGAAUUAAAGAAGGAUGAAAAGAUAGCGGAUGCUCAUCUUACCACGUUUCAACAAGGUGUUAUUUGGGUAAAAAACAAAUAAGAAAAGGAUAACCACAACCAAGGAAUCAGGGGAAAUAAAACUUAGAGGUGGAAAUUAUGAAAUUUUGGAUGGUCUGGAUGUAAUGUCGCGAUAUGACAAUACGUCCAGACCAGAAUUAAAUCUAUUUUUAGAUCCAGAUCACGUGACGAAAACAACUCGUCACCGGCAAAUUAUCGAUUACUUAGAAAAAUUAGGAUGUGGUGGCAAUGACUAUAAAGAGGAAAUCGAUUUUCUGGUUAGACAAAAUGCUCUAUUUUCAUCUUUACCCAAGGAAGAAUAUCGGCAUUAUCUUUUGGUGACAUAUUCUUUUCUUCAAGGAUUGGGUUAUUCCUCGACGUCUAUGAAAUCGCUAAUGGAAAAUAUAUCCAAUACAAUAGAAGGAUCCAUAACAGCUACUCCAUUUGAUGUUGUUGGUAAGCAAUACUACCAAGGAAAAUAUAUAAUAAACCCAAUGCAAGAUUUGUCUAGGGGUGAUACUUGUCUCCUUGUUGACAAAAACGACAUCAAUAUGAUAAGCUCACGACUGAGAGGAGAAAAGGGGAAGAAAAUGAUGAUGUUGGUUUUCAGGAUCUUUUCUGAUAUAAUGACCAGGAAUGAAAAUGUGAUUGAAACACAUGCCAAAAAAACCACAGAAGAAGUCGAUAAAAUUAGAGAGGAGAGAAAGAUAAAGGGCUUGAAGGAAUACCCAGUAAAAGCACAACUGAUAUAAUACAGGAGUAUACAGAUAAAAUCAGCAAAAUUAAGGAAGAAUCUGAGAGACGCAUUAAAAUGAUGGAAGAACGUGUAAAACAGCAAGCCAUAGAAUAUGAAGCAAAAUUGGAAAAGAAAGAUGAAGAAAUUGAAGAGAUAAGUGAUGAAUAUUACGCAGAAAAACAACGUGCUGCUGAGGAGGUGGUAGAAAGAAUCAAAGCUGAACGUAAAGCCGGAAGUAUAAACCGCCAAAGAAAGGCUGAGAAAUCCAUUACAGACGAACGCAAAUCGGCGGCAGUGAUCUAUAAGACCAAGGAAGAUGAGGAAUGUGUUUAUUUUCGUAUCAGAUAUCGUGAGAGAAAAUCCACAUUGAAGGAGAACCUUGAGGCGUCAUUGGUGGAUUGGAAAUCCGGUGAAAACAGAACAUACAUCUGGGAUAUGAUGGUAGUGUUGGUGGGUGCCAUUGGCAACAACUCGAUGAAAGGGGAUAACCUCAAAAGAAACGGGUUCUCGAUGAACAAGGAUAAAGAAUACCCGGUUAAACAUGCUGAUUACGAAAGAUUCAUCACGAAUGCAAUAGGGAAUGGAUUCACAUUGGCUCUUGACGAAGAUGGCAACAUACUCUACAAGGACGAGGUAAAAUUGAUGCGCAUGAAGGAGGACAACUUUGACGAUCUGAUGAAAUUGGUCAAGGAGCAGAUUGAGAUCUACAAGGCCAAGAAAAAUGCAUAUAUAGAAUCUGUAAUUGAUUGGUAAAAAACCCAAUGUCAUAUUCAUACAUGAG